GACGAACCAUCCAAACGUUAUUCGGAAUCACUGGGCUUAAAGGGUGCGUAGGCGGCCUGGUAAGUUGGGUGUGAAAUACCUCAGCUCAACUGAGGAAUUGCGCCCAAAACUGUCAGGCUCGAGGAAGACAUAGGUGAGCGGAACUUAGGGUGGAGCGGUGAAAUGCGUUGAUAUCCUAAGGAACACCAGUAGCGAAAGCGGCUCACUGGGUCUUAUCUGACGCUGAUGCACGAAAGCCAGGGGAG
rnacentral:rRNA from 1 species